rnacentral:rRNA from 1 species
GCUAUAAUGCAGUCGAGCGGACCGACGGGAGCUUGCUCCCUUAGGUCAGCGGCGGACGGGUGAGUAACACGUGGGUAACCUGCCUGUAAGACUGGGAUAACUCCGGGAAACCGGGGCUAAUACCGGAUGCUUGAUUGAACCGCAUGGUUCAAUCAUAAAAGGGGGCUUUUAGCUACCACUUACAGAUGGACCCGCGGCGCAUUAGCUAGUUGGUGAGGUAACGGCUCACCAAGGCGACGAUGCGUAACCGACCUGAGAGGGUGAUCGGCCACACUGGGACUGAAACACGGCCCAGACUCCUACGGGAGGCAGCAGUAGGGAAUCUUCCGCAAUGGACGAAAGUCUGACGGAGCAACGCCGCGUGAGUGAUGAAGGUUUUCGGAUCGUAAAACUCUGUUGUUAGGGAAGAACAAGUACCGUUCGAAUAGGGCGGCACCUUGACGGUACCUAACCAGAAAGCCACGGCUAACUACGUGCCAGCAGCCGCGGUAAUACGUAGGUGGCAAGCGUUGUCCGGAAUUAUUGGGCGUAAAGCGCGCGCAGGCGGUUUCUUAAGUCUGAUGUGAAAGCCCCCGGCUCAACCGGGGAGGGUCAUUGGAAACUGGGGAACUUGAGUGCAGAAGAGGGAGAGUGGAAA